rnacentral:lncRNA from 1 species
CUAUAUAUGCAGUCUGUCUAGAAUGAGCACAAAGUUGGAGCUCAAAGCUUGGGAAAUUCUUUUGGUAAAUAAAACCCUUUUUCAUAGCAUCUUAUGAACUGUCUUGUGUUAAGUCCUCUCUUAAUUAAAUUGGAAUAAUCGGUGGACGAAUUUCAUGUCACUAAUAUAGUAAAUACUGCAAAUCUGUGGUAAUUGUGAAGCUGUUUCAAAUUUCAUUGACUGUAACAAAUAUUUUCUGGGUUCUGUAUUGUUCGAUCUGAAAAGUUUCUCUUUGUGUUCAGUGAAUGGACAAAUGAGAAAAAUAUUUAUGAGAGAUGGAAUCAUGGGCGAAAAGCAACGGGAUUUUAAGAUUUUCAGCAUCCAUGAAUAGAGUAUUUAUUGAAAUUCAUGUGAUAGAACAUAUAUAUUGAGCACAUCACUACAUGUGCUUAUGUGCUCAGAGGCCUUUAAUUGGCUCUCUUAUUCCACACCGCUAUAUAUAUAUAGGUGUGCAAUACCUUAGUUUAGGUGUGCAAUACCUUAGUUUGUGACACUUAAUAUUAUCACUGACUAGCUAGUAGCUACUAGGUUCAUGGGCAGAAGGGCAGGUAAACAAACUUGUAGGAUCAUCCUUGGGAUAACUAUAAGCAUCUGGGCACCUCUCCUUGAAAUACUUUGAGAAAGUAGUAGGACCACAGGUGCCUGAAUUGCAACAAUACUCGUCAGUUUUGAACACAGGACAUGGUCCAUUGCACCCUCCAAGGACCUUCAAUUCAUUAGGGCACUGUCCAACGAUAUCUGCUGUGCAUUUGAUCACGCGGGUACAACCUGCAGAGGCCGAGCUGAAUUCCAUAGGAACAUUAAAUCCAUCAAUGUUAGAGAUAUCAAUGAAAUCUUGGUUUGCAAAUUGGCCGAUUGCGUAUUCGGCUAGGGUGUUAGGGGGUGAACCAUAGCCUUGGCAUGCUAGGAGCCCAUUGCAGUCACCAGUCUGGCAGUUGCCCCUUCCAGCACCAUCAAAUUGGCAAUUGGUUCGAGCCCAAAUGCGUGCUUGUGUGGUGCCAGGGUCAGCACUAAUGGUCCAUGUCUCACCAUUGUUAAGUUGCCUGCCACCCCCAGGCUUAGCUGCAGCCCAAACCGUGUAGGGACAUUUGUUUGUUAUAUCAAAUGUGGCUGCAUGGACAGAGGGGAAAUGAAGGGCAGCAAAAAGGAAGGAAAAGAUUGAGAGGGUUUUAAGGGAGCUCAUUCUGGACUUCGAGUGAAGGCAAGUUCUAUAGGUUUUUGUGUUUUUGUGGUAGCUAGUGUGGGUGAGGAGAUGCAGAUGCGGGGGGAGUUUAUAUAGCAAUUGGGUUGGCUAUGGCUGCUUUCAACACUUCAAUGUGAUUGCGUGAUUAAUUUUAGUUUGC